AUGACCACAGUGGCCCAUGGAGGGGGAAUAGGAGCUGUGUGGCGUAGAAACAAGGAAAGCCUCCCGCCCGGUGUGCACGGGGAGCUAGAAAGUGUGACCAGAGUGUUCGGGGCAGGGACAAAACCCAGCUUCUGGUGUCUUCUGCAAGGGGAAGAAGCCUUGCGCCCAGCGCGCCUUGUCGGAGAGGCUCCUAGGACCGGAGGGGAAGCCGCUCUGAACCGGAAUGAUCUGGUUUGGAGCGGGUUGGCUCCCUCCCUGCUCCCCCGCCCACUGCUCUCCCUCUCCUCCAGCGACGGGCUGGUUUUUGCCGCAGUCCCUGACCAAGAAAACCCUUCCAGGGGGCAGCUCAGCCUGGGGACAACCACAGAAGUGGGACCUGGGCCCAAAGACAGGUGUCACCUGAAACAGGCCACUGUUGUCCGCCUGCAGUAUGCUGGGAGGACCAGCUCCCGCUCCACCCUGCUCCCCCUGGGAGGAAGGCUGACCCCUGCGUGGGAGUGUGACUGCUGGAAAGGCAUCCUUGCUGCAGCUGUGAGUGUGAUGGGACAGCAGAGUCACUCCUGCAUGGGAUUCUAG
rnacentral:lncRNA from 1 species